ACCACUACUAACCGUGUAUGAAAUAAGCCCCGCCUCCUUAUUACCUUAUAUGGAAUAUAAAGGGACGUAACUCCACUACUAACCGUGUAUGGAAUAAGCCCCGCCUCCCAACUAACCUAAUAUUGAAUAUACACGGUUUCCACGAGGACGCUUUUAACCAAUCAUAUUCCUAGAAAUGUAUAGGAGGUAAGAUAAAAGCGAUUAU
rnacentral:lncRNA from 1 species